GUGCCAGCAGCCGCGGUAAUACGUAGGGUGCGAGCGUUAAUCGGAAUUACUGGGCGUAAAGCGUGCGCAGGCGGUUUUGUAAGACAGACGUGAAAUCCCCGGGCUUAACCUGGGAACUGCGUUUGUGACUGCAAGGCUAGAGUACGGCAGAGGGGGGUAGAAUUCCACGUGUAGCAGUGAAAUGCGUAGAUAUCUGGAGGAACACCGGUGGCGAAGGCGGCAUCCUGGACCGGCAUUGACGCUGAGGCGCGAAAGCCAGGGGAGCAAACGGGAUUAGAUACCCCGGUAGUCCUGGCCCUAAACGAUGAAUGCUUGGUGUGGCGGGUAUCGAUCCCUGCCGUGCCGGAGUUAACGCGUUAAGCAUUCCGCCUGGGGAGUACGGUCGCAAGGCUGAAACUCAAAGAAAUUGACGGGGGCCCGCACAAGCGGUGGAGCAUGUGGCUCAAUUCGAUGCAACGCGAAGAACCUUACCUGGCCUUGACAUGUAGCGUGAAAGGCGAUGAAAGUCGCUGACGGUCCGAAAGGAUGCUGGGGCUACACAGGUGCUGCAUGGUUGUCGUCAGCUCGUGUCGUGAGAUGUUGGCUUAAGUGCCGCAACGAGCGCAACCCUUGUGUUUAGUUGCUCCGAUGCAAGUCGGAGAUCUCUAAACAGACUGCCUCGCUUCAAACGAGGAGGAAGGUGGGGAUGACGUCAAAUCAGUAUGGCCCUUACGGCCAGGGCUGCACACGUGCUACAAUGCGCGGUACAGAGGGACGCAAGACCGCGAGGUGGAGCAAAUCCCUGAAAACCACGCCCAGUUCAGAUCGCAGGCUGCAACUCGCCUGCGUGAAGCCGGAAUCGCUAGUAAUGGCGUAUCAGCUACGACGCCGUGAAUACGUUCCCGGGCCUUGUACACACCGCCCGUCACAUCAUGGAAGCGGUCUGCACCCGAAGUCGCCUCGUUAACCGCAAGGAGACAGGCGCCGAAGGUAUGGAUCGUGACUGGGAUGAAGUCGUAACAAGGUAACC
rnacentral:rRNA from 1 species